CUACUAUCUACUACCCGUGUAAGAUAUUUUAUCUGGAGUAGCUAUGAAUUGUAAGGAAUACAAUUGGGUGCUAUGUGUACCUAUGUGAAGCGCAGAAGUAUUUGAUUAUAUACAAUUUCCUGGAUUUAUAUGAGAGUAAUGCAUAAUAGAGAGCAAAAGAGGGUUUUCUUGCCAAAAGUAUCUGUGUGAAUUUUCCUUCGAAAAUGUUCUUUUAAAAUCCUUUGUAUGAUCAAAGCCACUCCACACAGACAAUUAAAAGCAGAUAUGAAAUGAUAGAUCACAUGACAGGAGUUAAAUGUAAAGGUUUUUUUUUUCCUCCUCCCUCGGUUAAACAUCGCAGCAGGCAUUACAAUACCAGAGGUAACGAAUCAAUUAAAUCCAUUUUCCCCUCGGCGUCUCCAAAGCUGCGUGCCUAGUGUUGCUGUGUAGUUUAGAACCGGAGCAGUAGGACCCAGGGGCCUCCGCAGCCACCAAUAGAAGCGCACACUUGGACCUAUUUGUAUGCAAUGCCUUCUGCUCUGCGCAUUAAUAGUAAUACAGAUAACGGGUUUGAAAGAAUUCUCUACCGAAGAAGGAUUGAAUUUUUCCAGGGUGCUGAUACCGAGAAGAAACCCGACUUCACUCUCUCCCCAUUUUCCCACUCUUAGGUUGAAAAGUCUCAGACACCUUUCGCUUGGUUUAAACUCGGAAAGGUCUCAGUGCACAGCAAAGUUGGAGGGGCUGCGUCUGCACUACGGCGCCGCUAGAUCGCUGAAAACAGGCUUAUCCAAGGACUAAACAGAGGGAAGAGAAUGAUCACAGCAACACACUCUAAAAGCAGGGACAUUCUGGAGGUGACUACUUCACUUGCUGUAUACUUUGAUGGUUGUUAAUUCCAGGAAUGGCCAGCCAAAGAGGUUUGCUAAACAACUGUUGUGUUUCUCUAAUUUUCUCUCAUUCUUGUGUUCUCUUGCUCUCUUUUCUCCUUACCACUCUACACUUCUCCCUCUCAACUUGUGUCAAGACAGACCAGCUUCAUAUUUAACUUCUGUUCGACCAAACCCAUGUUCAGGCAUUUUUUAUUCUAUUUUUGUGAUCAGUCUAAGAUAAAUGUAACUCAUCAGAGGCAACACUUAUUAGAACAGUGAUGUUAUUGAUGUGUACUUCCAUCUUACAUUUCUUGAGUGAUGAUAUUGUUCAGAAAGAUGUGUCUGUAACUGAAUUCACUUUAGCUAGGAUGACCAGACAUCAUGCGUCCCACUAAUUUUCAUCAGAAUGAUGAAAUGAACAAUAUGAUUGAAGGUCAAGUGGGCCUAGAAUUCAUCUGCCUGAUCUGGUGUAAGCACAGCAUUUUGAAAAUUGCUUUUGUUUGAAAAUUGCUUUCUUUCUGUCUUGGUGUACAUGAGUACACUUUUAAGGAAUCAUCUUCUUGAAUUUGAACAUUCAUUUGGAAAAAUAAUGCAUGAUGUAGACAGUUUUAAUUUUAGCCAUAAAAUAAGAAAAAAAUAAAAUUCGGAUAGACUGUAUUUCAUUACUUUUCAUUAGAUCAUCUUUUUAAAAUGUCUUUAUUAUUUAAAUAAUUCUAUUAAUAUAGGAAUGCAAUCUUUUUUUAAGCAAGUCAGAAAACUAAUUCUGCCUGAGGCAAUCCUGUAAUUAAAGUGAAAGGAGAUAAUAAUCUCCAUUUUUCUGUCUUUACAUUUGCCUUUAUGUUAGCAAUACUAAUAAACCUCACAUGUUUAGGGUGAAAAAUUGAUUUGAGCCUUUCUGCAUUUACUGCUGUGUUUUUUCUCCCGCCCCCUACCCCUAAGGAUUUGUAAGUUUAAUUUGCCAUCGAUUCUUUAAUGAUUAUGGUAGCUACACUAGAGAAACUAGUGUUUAUCUUCAUCAUGCCCUGUGGAUAGAACAUUAGGUUUAUUUUUAUAUGUAGCUGCUUUUUCGUCAUUUUGAUAACAUGGUCUAGCCAGCAGUUGACAGCCAUCUUACUGUUUUAUUGAUUUUAUAUUUUAAUCA
rnacentral:lncRNA from 1 species